UUAGGAAUCUUCCACAAUGGGCGAAAGCCUGAUGGAGCGACGCCGCGUGAGGGAUGAAGGUUUUCGGAUCGUAAACCUCUGAAUCUGGGACGAAAGACGCGUAAGCGGGAUGACGGUACCAGAGUAAUAGCACCGGCUAACUCCGUGCCAGCAGCCGCGGUAAUACGGAGGGUGCAAGCGUUACCCGGAAUCACUGGGCGUAAAGGGCGUGUAGGCGGGAACUUAAGUCUGGUUUUAAAGACUGGGGCUCAACCCCGGGGAUGGACUGGAUACUGGGUUUCUAGACCUCUGGAGAGAUACUCGGAAUUUCUGGUGUAGCGGUGGAAUGCGUAGAUACCAGAAGGAACACCGAUGGCGAAGGCAGAGUAUUGGACAGAAGGUGACGCUGAGGCGCGAAAGUGUGGGGAGCGAACCG
rnacentral:rRNA from 1 species